GUUCAACCCAAUUCCUGCCAAAAUCCCAGCUGCCUUUUCUGCAGAAAUCGGCAAGUGAAUCCUAAAAUUCACAUGGAAAUGCAAAGGACACGGAAUAAGCAAAACAAUCCUGACAAAGAACAAGGAAAUAUACAUUUUCUAGAGCCCAAUCUGCCAGGAGAGAUCUAAGAGAUUACAAUGGAAAAAACUUGAAAUUCUGAGGACAGACAAAAGAAAAAGGAAGAGUUAAUGACUAGUGAGACACCAUCAUGUAGACUGGUGCCACAUGGAAUCUGGGGCAACAGAAUAUGAUCUAUCCAGAUGGACAUACAGGGAAAGCUGGUGCUGGGAAGCACCUUAAGCUACAUGAUUGCAAUAAAUUUUGCUCACCAGUGA